CCCCCACGGUGGAACCCUCCACAGGUGCCAUUGAAGACAAAGGAGAGGCGGUCGGGCAGCAAUGGUGUGUAGCAGCAGCGACAACGAUGGACUCCGACGACAUUGUCUUCCUCUAUACUCAGCGGCAGUGUUGUAGUGGUCCAAUUGCAAGAUUGAGCCUAGCGGAGGUGAAUUUGUAAAGGAAAAAGCUAAUUUGAGUACUGAUUUGGCCGAAUUGAGGUAAGUGUCUUGCCUAACUUUUGGUGGGGGAAACAACCCCUUAGGAUUCGAGUUGAUUAUGCUAAGUGUGUUAUGUGAAA